rnacentral:piRNA from 1 species
ACUCCAUUGUUGGGACCAAAGAUU